UAACCUGCCCAAGAGAUCGGGAUAACACCUGGAAACAGAUGCUAAUACCGGAUAACAACAGAUGAUGCCUAUCAACUGUUUAAAAGAUGGUUCUGCUAUCACUCUUGGAUGGACCUGCGGUGCAUUAGCUAGUUGGUAGGGUAACGGCCUACCAAGGCGAUGAUGCAUAGCCGAGUUGAGAUACUGAUCGGCCACAUUGGGACUGAGACACGGCCCAAACUCCUACGGGAGGCAGCAGC
rnacentral:rRNA from 1 species